rnacentral:rRNA from 2 species
ACUUCUUAGAGGGAUAAGCGGUGUUUAACCGCACGAGAUUGAGCGAUAACAGGUCUGUGAUGCCCUUAGAUGUCCGGGGCUGCACGCGCGCUACACUGGAAGAAUCAGCUGGUAUUCCAUUGCCGAAAGGUAUUGGUAAACCGUUGAAACUCUUCCGUGACCGGGAUAGGGAAUUGUAAUUAUUUCCCUUGAACGAGGAAUUCCUAGUAAGUGUGAGUCAUCAGCUCACGUUGAUUACGUCCCUGCCCUUUGUACUGAGCG